CUUGAUGACGAGCUUGGAGGGUACUAUGGUGUUGAAUGCCGAGCUGUAGUCGAUGAACAGCAUUCUCACAUAGGUAUUCCUCUUGUCCAGGUGGGUUAGGGCAGUGUGCAGUGUGGUUGAGAUUGCAUCGUCUGUGGACCUAUUUGGGCGGUAAGCAAAUUGGAGUGGGUCUAGGGUGUCCGGUAGGGUGCAGGUGAUAUGGUCCUUGACUAGUCUCUCAAAGCACUUCAUGAUGACGGAAGUGAGUGCUACGGGGCGGUAGUCGUUUAGCUCAGUUACCUUAGCUUUCUUGGGAACAGGAACAAUGGUGGCCCUCUUGAAGCAUGUGGGAACAGCAGACUGGUAUAGGGAUUGAUUGAAUAUGUCCGUAAACACACCGGCCAGCUGGUCUGCGCAUGCUCUGAGGGCGCGGCUGGGGAUGCCGUCUGGGCCUGCAGCCUUGCGAGGGUUAACACGUUUAAAUGUCUUACUCACCUCGGCUGCAGUGAAGGAGAGACCGCAUGUUUUCGUUGCAGGCCGUGUCAGUGGCACUGUAUUGUCCUCAAAGCGGGCAAAAAAGUUAUUUAGUCUGCCUGGGAGCAAGACAUCCUGGUCCGUGACUGAUAUGAGACAGGUAAAUUGAUAUGAGACAGGUAAAUUGAUAUGAGACAGGUAAAUUGAUAUGAGAUAGGUAAAUUGAUAUGAGACAGGUAAAUUGAUAUGAGACAGGUAAAUUGAUAUUAGACAGGUAAAUUGAUAUGAGACAGGUAAAUUGAUAUGAGACAGGUAAAUUGAUAUUAGACAGGUAAAUUGAUGAACAUUGCGCAUGUGGUGCAAAAUGCCGGAGUAUCUGUUUUACAUGCUGUAAUGUCAAAACGAACUUGCGUUUGGCACUUGUGCUGCCGUAGCGCCAGCCGAAAAUAGAGCCCCUUGUCUGUGUUCUGACU